rnacentral:rRNA from 1 species
CUUGUCUCAAAGAUUAAGCCAUGCAUGUCUCAGUGCAAGCCAAAUUAAGGUGAAACCGCGAAAGGCUCAUUAAAUCAGCUAUGGUUCCUUAGAUGGUACGUACAGUUACUUGGAUAACUGUGGCAAUUCUAGAGCUAAUACAUGCAAACCGAGUUCCGACCGCUUCGCAGGCGGAAGGAAUGCUUUUAUUAGAUCAAAACCAAUCGGACUCCUCCGCGGGUCCGUCACGCCUUGGUGACUCUGAAUAACUUUGAGCUGAUCGCACGGUCCCGUACCGGCGACGCAUCUUUCAAAUGUCUGACUUAUCAACUUUCGAUGGUAGGCUCUGCGCCUACCAUGGUCGUAACGGGUAACGGGGAAUCAGGGUUCGAUUCCGGAGAGGGAGCCUGAGAAACGGCUACCACAUCCAAGGAAGGCAGCAGGCGCGCAAAUUACCCACUCCCGGCACGGGGAGGUAGUGACGAAAAAUA